CCCGUAUAUAUUAAGCUGAUAUUUGACUUGUUUUCUGUAGCUCAAAUUCAGUCCCAACAAAUGGAUGAUCUAAAUUUAAGACUUGUUUUUAUUUUCUGUUGUUGAAUUUUAAAAUAGGCGAUGCCACCAUAUGGAUCGAAUUCUGUCUUCAAAUGGAAAGAGAUAUUUUCAAACAUCCUUGAAUUGAGCAUGCAGAAUGAGGGCGGCAUGAUGCUUACAUACCCACUAAUCUCUGUUAUGACAUGUCUGCAUGACGGAGAGGAUCAUACUCCUGGGUUGAGGAAAGGAGGGCUGUCCACAGAUGACACAAUCAAGAGAUGCAGUGGCCCACAGAGAAUGCAAACAGACAAAAAAGACUCACCAUGCCAGCUGCCUUUUAAAAGAAAAUGCCAAUUAAGGAAAAAAAUCGCCUUUCCAAAGAAAUGAUAUAGCAAAAGGGGAA
rnacentral:lncRNA from 1 species